rnacentral:rRNA from 1 species
AGAGUUUGAUCAUGGCUCAGAUUGAACGCUGGCGGCAGCCCUUACACAUGCAAGUCGAGCGAGAAAGUUUCUUCGGAAGCGAGUAAAGCGGCGGACGGGUGAGUAACGCGUAGGAAUCUACCAUUCAGUGGGGGAUAGCUCGGGGAAACCCGAAUUAAUACCGCAUAUACCCUAAGGGGGAAAGAGGGCCUAUCCUUGGAAGCUCUUGCUGUUUGAUGAGCCUGCGUGAGAUUAGUUUGUUGGUGAGGUAAUGGCUCACCAAGGCUACGAUCUCUAGCUGGUCUGAGAGGACGAUCAGCCACACUGGGACUGAGACACGGCCCAGACUCCUACGGGAGGCAGCAGUGGGGAAUAUUGGACAAUGGGGGCAACCCUGAUCCAGGCAUGCCGCGUGUGUGAAGAAGGCCUUCGGGUUGUAAAGCACUUUAGGUAAGGAAGAAAAGUUAUUGGUUAAUACCCAAUGACCAUGACAUUACUUACAGAAUAAGGACCGGCUAACUCCGUGCCAGCCGCCGCGGUAAUAC